rnacentral:rRNA from 1 species
CGAGAAUCUUCCGCAAUGGCCGCAAGUCUGACGGAGCGACGCCGCGUGAUCGAUGAAGUCUUUCGGGAUGUAAAGAUCUUUUAUGAAGGAGAAAGUUUUGAUAGUACUUCAUGAAUAAGGGGUUGCUAAACUCGUGCCAGCAGCAGCGGUAAUCCGAGUACCCCAAGCGUUAUCCGGAAUUAUUGGGCGUAAAGGGUAUGUAGGUUGUAAUGUUAGUCUUUUGUCAAAGCCUUCGGCUCAACCGGAGAAUUGCGAGAGAAACGGCAUAACUAGAGACCGGGAGAGGUCAGUGGAAUGGCCGGUGUAGUAGUUAAAUGCGUUAAUAUCGGCUAGAACACCAAUAGCGAAGGCAGCUGACUAGAACGGUUCUGACGCUAAUCAGACGAAAGCGUGGGGAGCGAAUG